rnacentral:rRNA from 1 species
GGAUCAUUGAAGAGUCUCACCUCUCCAAACCCUGUGAACAAACCCCGUUGCCUCGGCGGCCCCCGGGCCGCCGCAGGCCCACCAAAACUAUUUUACUGUGGCACUCUGAGCAUACUGUACGAGCCAAAACUUUCAGCAACGGAUCUCUUGGUUCUGGCAUCGAUGAAGAACGCAGCGAAAUGCGAUACGUAAUGCGAAUUGCAGAAUUCAGUGAGUCAUCGAAUCUUUGAACGCACAUUGCGCCCGCCGGCAUCCCGGCGGGCAUGCCUGUUCGAGCGUCAUUUCAACCCUCAGGCCCAGCCUGGUGAUGGGGCGCCGCUCCGCGCGGCCCCCGAAAAGCAGUGGCGGGCUCGCUGUGAACCCGGGCGUAGUAGCACACCUCGCCCUGGGAGCACGGCGGCACCCUGCCGUUAAACACCCCACAAACACAAGGUUGACCUCGGAUCAGGUAGGAAUACCCGCUGAACUUAAGCAUAUCAAUAAGCGGAGGAAAAGAAACCAACAGGGAUUGCCUCAGUAACGGCGAGUGAAGCGGCAACAGCUCAAAUUUGAAAGCUGGCCUCACGGCCCGCGUUGUAAUUUGCAGAGGAUGAUUCGGGCGAGGCCCCUUCUGAGUCCCCUGGAACGGGGCGCCACAGAGGGUGAGAGCCCCGUAUAGCAGGCGGCCGAGCCCAUGUGAAUCUCCUUCGACGAGUCGAGUAGUUUGGGAAUGCUGCUCUAAAUGGGAGGUAAAUUCCUUCUAAAGCUAAAUACCGGCCAGAGACCGAUAGCGCACAAGUAGAGUGAUCGAAAGAUGAAAAGCACUUUGAAAAGAGGGUUAAAUAGCACGUGAAAUUGCUGAAAGGGAAGCGCUCCUGACCAGACGCGCGCCGGGCGGAUCAUCCAGCGUUCUCGCUGGUGCACUCCGCCCGGCGCGGGCCAGCAUCGGUUCUCGUGGGGGGACAAAGCCGCCGGAAAGUAGCUCCCUCCGGGGAGUGUUAUAGCCGGCGGUCACGCCCCCGCGGGGACCGAGGUCCGC